CUUGGUCAUUUAGAGGAAGUAAAAGUCGUAACAAGGUUUCCGUAGGUGAACCUGCGGAAGGAUCAUUACAGAAUAAACAUGAUGGGCUGUUGCUGGCUCAGUUCUCUGGGCAUGUGCACGUUUAUCGUAUUUAUCUUUCCACCAUGUGCACCCCACGUAGGUCUGAAGAAUUUUAAUUUGAUCAAAGCUUGCUUUGAUUAUUUGGAAUCUGCCGUAACUAUUACGGCUUUUUCUGACUUCAGCGCCUAUGAUUUAUUUAAAUACACCAAUGUAUGUUAAAGAACGUCAUACUGGGCCACAAAGCCUAUAUAAUCAUUAUACAACUUUCAGCAACGGAUCUCUUGGCUCUCGCAUCGAUGAAGAACGCAGCGAAAUGCGAUAAGUAAUGUGAAUUGCAGAAUUCAGCGAAUCAUCGAAUCUUUGAACGCACCUUGCGCUCCUUGGUAUUCCGAGGAGCAUGCCUGUUUGAGUGUCAUUUAAUUCUCAAUCCCUACAAUCUUGUGUUGUUUAGUGGAUUGGAGGUGGGGGUUUUUGUGGGUCUAUCUAUUAGAUCUUCUCCCCUAAAAAUCAUUAGCUGGAAUGCCUUUGCAAAACCAACUAUCAGUAUGAUAAUUAUCUACUCUGAUGUUGUUGUAAAAGGGGAUCUGCUUUCAAACUGUCGUUCAGACACUAUGAAUCAAUUUGACCUCAAAUCAGGUAGGACUACCCGCUGAACUUAAGCAUAUCAAUAAGCGGAGGAAAAGAAACUAACAAGGAUUCCCCUAGUAACUGCGAGUGAAGCGGGAAAAGCUCAAAUUUAAAAUCUGAUGGUCUUUGGCUGUCCGAGUUGUAAUCUAGAGAAGUGUUAUCCGCGUUGGACCGUGUACAAGUCUCCUGGAAUGGAGCAUCAUAGAGGGUGAGAAUCCCGUCUUUGACACGGACUACCAGUGCUUUGUGAUGCGCUCUCAAAGAGUCGAGUUGUUUGGGAAU
rnacentral:sRNA from 1 species